UCCACUGAUUCCCUAAAUACAAUUCCACCAAUUCUUCUCAUCUUCCCUAUCUCCAACUCUCUGUCCAUACUGCGCGGCCGCCAGCCAAGCCUUCAUGGCAUGUCGCCAUCGAAGAUCUGCUCACUGCUGCCGGCUCAGAGAUCAUUCCCUCUAUCUCUACCUCUCUCUCUUGGAGCCCUGCGAUCCCCGCCGUCGCUGGUUAUGAUGGCUCAAGACGUACUCCCAGGCCUGGACAAGAGGAGCUGUACAUGCCGCCGCCACUCUCCUUCUCCAACAUUACUUGCGCCAGAGAUGGGUGCUCUCCUUCCUCUCAUUCUUCUCAUAUAUGAACAUAAUUUUUUAGACGGCCUGAUUUGUGUGUGGUCGGAAAUUUCAUAGUAGGGAGCUCUUUUCCAUCCCCAGCGAGCUCCUCUGCGGCAACAUGUCCGGGUUUUGAAAAGAACAAACAAAUGAAGAAGCUUCCAUUAUCACAUUAUCACAACAUUGGCAUAUUGGGGUUCAUUUUCAGACAUGGGCGGUGGAUACAAACGAACAUGCUUGCAGUAGUCUGGGGGAUCACCAUCCAUGCACAAAGGUACGAAAUGAGAAGGCCAAAGAUUUUCUUUCCCUUCUUCAUCAUUGGUAUGAACUUUAUGAGAAAUAUGAAGUCCAGAAAAACAACGCAGUGCUGGGCUUUGGUCAAGCUGAAACGAUAGCAGAUGACGAAGAUGAAUCUCUUCCAUAUGACAUAUUUGAGGUUGAGAAACUUUUAAACAUAUGUUAUGGUGAUCCAACAAAGAAUGGUCAAGUAGGCCUCUGCUUUAAGGUGAGGUGCAAAGGAUAUGGACCUGCUGAUGAUACAUGGGAGCCGAUUGACGGCCUUCGUGAUUCUCCUGAGUCUAUUAAACAAUUCGUUGAGAGUGGAUAUAGCUAGGGAGGGUAUUUUGCUGUUACCUGUGCUUCCAAAAUUCCCACCAUCCAUGACGUUGUUAAGCAAGGAGUAGUAGUGCCAAAAGCAUUUUCGCAAUGUGUCGUUGCAUAUGACAAAACAAAAGAUAAGCACUUGAAGAAACCUGUUAUCCUUGAUGAUGCAAUAUCUGAUUUACCGAAGGUUCAUAUCAUAACAUUUUCCUCAUAUGCUCAUUGUUCCUCCAAUAUUGCAUGAGCCCAUGUGGAUUGAUGUCUACUGCACAACCUUCUUCUUGUAGACGUUGUUGGGCCUCCAAGUGCAGAGGU